rnacentral:lncRNA from 1 species
AAAUUUGUUUAUUUGGAGCAAGGUUUUGUGUUGAAGCUUUGUAGGUGAAGCUUUGGAGGUGAAGCUUUGAUGGUGAAGCUUUGUAGAUGAAGCUUUCUGGGUGAAGCUAUGUAGGUGAAGCUUUCUAGGUGAAGCUUUUUUAGGUGAAGCUUUGUAGGUGAAGCUUUUUUAAGUGAAGCUUUUCGGGUGAAGUUUUUUGGGUGAAGCUUUGUGGGUGAAGCUUUUUAGGUGAAGCUUUGUGGGUGAAGCUUUUUUAGGUGAAGCUGUUUGGGUGAAGCUUUUUGGAGGUGAAGUUUUUUUGGGUGAAGCUUUUUUAGGUGAAGCUUUGUGGGUGAAGCUUUUUUAGGUGAAGCUGUUUGGGUGAAGCUUUUUGGAGGUGAAGUUUUUUUUUUUUUUUUUUUUGGUGAAGCUUUUUUAGGUGAAGCUUUUUGGGUGAAACUUUUUUGGAUGAAGCUUUUUGGGUGAAGUUUUGGAGGUGAAGCUUUUUGGGUGAAGCUUUGUGGGUGAAGCUUUUUAGGUGAAGCUUUGUGGGUGAAGCUUUUUUAGGUGAAGCUGUUUGGGUGAAGCUUUUGGAGGUGAAGUUUUUUUUUUUUGGGUGAAGCUUUUUUAGGUGAAGCUUUUUGGGUGAAACUUUUUGGAUGAAGCUUUUUUGGGUGAAGUUUUGGAGGUGAAGCUUUUCGGGUGAAGCUGUUUUUUUUUUUUUUUUUUUUUUUUUUUUUUUUUUUUUUUUUUUUUUUUUGGCGCUUGACACGGUUUUGAU